AGUGAACGCUGGCGGUAGGCCUAACACAUGCAAGUCGAACGGCAGCACAGUAAGAGCUUGCUCUUACGGGUGGCGAGUGGCGGACGGGUGAGGAAUACAUCGUAAUCUACUUUUUCGUGGGGGAUAACGUAGGGAAACUUACGCUAAUACCGCAUACGACCUACGGGUGAAAGCAGGGGAUCUUCGGACCUUGCGCGAUUGAAUGAGCCGAUGUCGGAUUAGCUAGUUGGCGGGGUAAAGGCCCACCAAGGCGACGAUCCGUAGCUGGUCUGAGAGGAUGAUCAGCCACACUGGAACUGAGACACGGUCCAGACUCCUAAGGGAGGCAGCAGUGGGGAAUAUUGGACAAUGGGCGCAAGCCUGAUCAAGCCAUACCGCGUGGGUGAAGAAGGCCUUCGGGUUGUAAAGCCCUUUUGUUGGGAAAGAAAAGCAGCAGGUUAAUACCCCGCUGUGCUGACGGUACCCAAAGAAUAAGCACCGGCUAACUUCGUG
rnacentral:rRNA from 1 species